rnacentral:sRNA from 1 species
CUCUCGCGUGAGUGAUGGAAGUGGAGCUCUUUUUUGUGAGGCUUUUUAGCCGAACAAAAAAAGCGGGAACGGACAGCACGACCCGGA